CAGGACGAACGCUGGCGGCGUGCCUAAUACAUGCAAGUCGAACGGUCUUUCUAUGGAAGCUUGCUUCCACUGAGAAGAUAGUGGCGAACGGGUGAGUAACACGUGGGUAACCUGCCCAUAAGAGGGGGAUAACAUCCGGAAACGGGUGCUAAUACCGCAUAGUUUUUCUUGAUCGCAUGAUUGAGAAAGGAAAGAUGGCCUUUGUGCUGUCGCUUAUGGAUGGACCCGCGGCGUAUUAGUUAGUUGGUGAGGUAACGGCUCACCAAGACGAUGAUACGUAGCCGACCUGAGAGGGUGAUCGGCCACAUUGGGACUGAGACACGGCCCAAACUCCUACGGGAGGCAGCAGUAGGGAAUCUUCCGCAAUGGACGAAAGUCUGACGGAGCAACGCCGCGUGAGUGAAGAAGGUUUUUUCGGAUCGUAAAACUCUGUUGUCAGAGAAGAACAAGUUGGAGAGUAACUGCUCCAGCCUUGACGGUAUCUGACCAGAAAGCCACGGCUAACUACGUGCCAGCAGCAGC
rnacentral:rRNA from 1 species